CUAGAUGCCUUCCUCCUGCAUCCACAGUUAAUCGCAGGGGGACUCCAGGCUCUAGGUCCCAGGAUCAGUUCUCUCCGUGGCAUCAAUGGGGUUCCCGCCACUCUGUAGGAACGGGGUGGGGAUUUUCCCCCAGACACAGAAUCUGAAAGUCUCUGGGCCUGGAGAACUUAUCUACCCAACUCCUUCUUAGUUGACUUGGGAGGAUUGUCCAUCUGGGAGGCAUCCACUCAUUCUUCCCUUCCUGGGGCAAUUUAAAGAGUUAAUAUAAUAUGGACCAAAGGAAAAAAAAAAACUCACCUUAGGCUUGAACCCAAAGCAGGCUGAGAUUUCCUUUCUUUUCACACUAAUGCCCACUUUCUCGUCCACCUGUCCAAUGGCUGUGAGUCUCUCCUGCCAGAGAUCUGCCGGGCACGGUCUGGCCUCUCCAAAGUUGCAGACUCACACAGCUUUAGGCCUCCCCAACCCAGAGACUCCACUCUGCCACCCCACAGACAGAAGGGAUUUCCUAUGACCCUGUUUCCUUCUCCGGGGGCAGAAGGUGAGGGCAAUUGGAGCUGGGAUGGAUUUUCAUUUUCUGGUUAGCAAAGGUCCCAGCACGGGGUAGUACUCCUGGGGUGCAUUCCCCUAUUUCUUUCAUCCAGGACGUGAGAGCUGACACCUCUGCUUCCUGCAGCCCCUGCUCCCGCAUUGGAAGUCGAAGCCAAAGUGGGGCUGUUUUGGAGAUGCCAUCCUUAAGGUGAACGUCUUUAUCGCCACACUCAGGGACCAGAUUGGGUGACAUUUUCCUUCCCCAUUGAUUUCAAGUGCAUGCCACGCUCUGAGUCUCCAACCCAAGAUAAAAUAAACCUUCCCCCUCCGACAAAACCUUUGUGUCCGCGCCGUUAAUCCUUGCUGGAGCAGGAAGGUGCAACGCGCUUUGUUUCCGGAGUGAAUGAAGACAAACGCUUGCACCUUGGCGCUAACCAGACAAUAAACUAAUCCACUUGAAGGUUGUUAUCUGAGAUGGGAUGUGCGAGGGCCUGAGAGCUCAGCCACAUACUGUACCAGGAAAGGAGUUUCUUUUCAACCCUUUUUCAUUCCAAAAAAAAGACGAAGAAAUGAAAUGAAGUCAAACAAAUUAGUGUUUCCAAAUAAAGGGAAAAGACCUUGUGUGUUUAAUGAUUGGAAGCGCUUUUGUGGGUGGGGAGUGUGAGGUGUGCCGCCUAGGGCUGCUGAAGCUUUGGGCUCCUCAAGGUCGCCCCCUCUUUAGAGCAGGCCCCAAGACCCCACCCCUACCCCCGAAGACUUUCUCUGCCCUUUACUCCCCAGGAGGACAGGGGGCAGGUACCUGCACUGCAAGCUUUCACCACCGGCUUGAACGGGGAAGGAUGCGAGCGCCGUCUCCAAAGAGGUGCCCAGAACAGGGAUGGGGGGAGGGUCGGAUGCCGUCCACGGAGCCCACUUCUUCCACAGGCACAAGAAAGGCUCCCCUCCGUAGGGUGUGCCGAGGCCUCGCCUGCUCUCCUGUAUCUUCCUUUCUUGCCUGGUUUGCUGUUGUUUAGAGCGCACCCCCACAACAGGGGGCGUAAAGCUGAGGCGUGGGAGGGCAGAAGCCGGGAAAGCAGGGUGCCUCUGGGCGGCCCCCGUGCCCUGGAGCGCAGAAAAGGCGCUCGUGUUUGAGCUACCUGGGAAAGUAAACAGGUAAACACUGAGCCGACUUAGAGGGCCACUUGUCCUGGAGUGGGGCCACUUAGCCUGUGUACAUUCGCCUCCCCUCCUGGGCCUCCGGCGAUUGUUCAGCCUCCCCGCGCCCGCUCCAGCCGCCUGAACCCGAACUCAAUUCGUUGCGGAACCCAGAGCAGCAGAGAGAGCGAGGCUCUCCUCUAGCUUCCAGGGGCACAGGUUCUCUUCCUCCCCUCUCCUGCCUUUCCCCCGGGCGUAGGACUCCCAAUGCGUCCGUUCUCAACCUAGGAAGAAUGAAUAGAGCUAGAGAUGUGUACGGAAUCUGGAGCCCCAAUGCUGAUAAUAAAGAUCGAGUUGAGGGGUCCAGCUGUUCAGGUUACCCCAGCAGGGGCGCGCGGUGUUCGGGACGCUAAGGAGACACCAAGCAAAUCUCCUCCGGCCCGGGGCAUGCUGGGUUCAGAACUUCCAGCACCCAGCUCAACUUCCUCCCCAAGCAUGCAGCAGAACGAGGCAUCUUGCAGAGUGCCUACGAGGUCUCCAGACCACGGCAGCUGAGCCCAAAGCUCAAACCCAAACUUGACGGAACGGAGGACAUUGAACUCGCUUGGGUGCAAGACGGUACCUGGAAAGAAUUUACUAAAGAAUGCCGAGUGGGGGAGACCAGGAGCUGAAACUGGUGCAGGCAGACGCUGACAGGGUGGGAGUGGUGGGCCCUUACUGAAGAACCCUCCGGAGGGGGAAGGGAGCGGGGCAGGGCCUCUCAGCCUGCGGGUGUGCGGGAUCGCAGAGAACCAAAGCUCCUGGGCUCUAGAAGGCCUAGCUGUGGUACUCUCGGGGAGGCCUCUUGGGGAGUCCUCAGGAUGCAAUCACCUGUUUAAUUGGGACAGAAAAGGUGCGUUUGGCGCCUGGCCCCUAGGCUCUUUGGGCGCAAGCCGGGCCCAAGAAAUUGAGGAGACACUGGACUGUGCUCUGGGCACCGGACUUGCCCUGGCCGCCAGCUGGGCCUGCGCAGGCCUCCCGGCGUCCACAGGCCGCUCCUGGGGGACUUGCAUUUUAUGAUCUUCCACUAACAAGCCCAGUUUCUCCCCUUCAAUUACGGACCUCCCAGCGGUCUCCCAGCGCCUUUUCAAUUGCAAAUGUUAACGCUCUGGAAAUGGACGCGGGAACCACACGGACGAGAAGUGAUGGGGAAAUGAGUCUCGAGGUCCCGGGAGAGGCUGAGUGCUGUGGACCCGGAAGCACCGAUCGCGGAGGAGGCAAGGCCGAAGCUCUCUCCAAUUCUCUCCCUCCCUGCCCAGCUGCCCCCAGGCCAGGGGAAAUAAAAACUGGAAGACUCGCUGGGGUGAAAGUGUAGGAGGGGCCGGAGUCCAGGAGGCGUCCUGCGAGGGCAGGGGAAGUGGGCGCCUCAGGUGCUCCGACAAGAGGACACCGCAAGCUGAGACCCAGAAGGAUUCGGCUGGUCAUUGAGGCUAAGGGGCAGGCGCAAAGGCAAACCCGACCUUUGAGAACUGGGCUGAGGGCCUCCUUCUCUAGGCGCCUAUGGCAGCACUCCCUCCCCGUGAUUAAUUCCAGGAGCCAGGAUUCCCCUAGGAAAGCAAUCCUCUCUCAGGCGCUCUGCGGACCUUGCAGGCUCCCACGGGUGAGGGGAGGGGACUUGAUCAAUAGCAGCGGUGCUGAUUUAGAUCCUGAGAAGAAAGGGUCACUAUGCUGGGGAAGGGGGAGAGAAGUUGGGAACUACAUGGAACUUCAGCGAGGUGGUUCCCAGCUGAAGAAAUGAACACGCUUUGGGAGGCCUCUGCGGGCACUCCCCCACCUAAGAGGGCUCUGGGGAUAUGCGAGAAACGACACUUGCUGCCAAAGACCCCUUUGCCACCUGACCCAAGAAUUUGCCUGGCCCAACCAGAUCCUAUUCUGGGUCCCCAACCUAGUGGCUGCCCUGGACCCC
rnacentral:lncRNA from 1 species